UAAGGCAGUUGCCAUAGCAGCAUUGUACAACACAGAGACGAUGGCGUACAGCACAGCCAGCCGCUUUCACCAUUCUCUAACGCAGUUUAAAGCCUACGAGGAUUAUCUGGACUCGAAGGUCACGCCUCUGGAUCUGUUCUACUUUAAAAAGGAGUUGGCCCGCAAGCUGGUGGAACACGGCCACAAGGGCACGGUCCUGAGCAGGGAGGAAUUUGAGGAGAGGAAAGCAGCUGCACAGGCUGCAGAGGCUGCAAAGAGCAACACUUUCUACAACAGGAGUUGGCCAGUGACACUGGCAAGUGCAGGAAAAGAACUCAAAGAUAACUUCCUGAAAGCCCUGGCAGAGCGAGAGGAGGCCAACCGCAGUGGGAAAAUGACUUCGGUCAUUUUCAUAAGGGGAUCAUAAUACUCUUGGACAGGAAGUAUCUGGCUAUAUAGACUACGCCCACAGACUCAAGACCCAAGAUUUUGAACCAUAUUUCAGUGGAAAGAAGAGGCUCAUGCCAGGGCGCUCAGAUUUAUGCUACUACAACUGGAAGACGCUGGUAUCCACAUCCAACUCGAGCCCAAACUUUGAGGUGAUUUAUGAUAACCCUGAUGGGCUUCUCUUUAAGAACAAGAGGGACAAAAAGAUCCUGAAUUUGGACCCUUUGUCUGGUCCUGGCGAGGACUCCAAGAGGACGUUCCUGCAGUCGGACAUCUACAUUCAUGCUGUCAUCUAUGACCACAACAUCAGGACAGUCUAAGCUUCAGAGUCCGUCGCCGACACUUGCAUGCAUAUGGCACAUAUUUGGAGAGCACUGGAAGCCUCUAAUUUGACUGAGUUGCUGUAGUUGCCCCAUCAUUUACAAACUGGUCCCCUCAUAUCAUGCAUGCCAUCUGGGUGGAGGUGUUGCCGUAAAGAAAUGGCUUUAAACUGAGGAAUCCCAAAGGAUGAAGUUGAUGGACUCGUGUGACAGCAGGUUUAUUUGCUGAGCUUUUCUGUGUAACGCUGGCCUGAAAUGAUUCCAUCCAGAUCAGGUGUGGCUGUGCUUUUCGCCGUUACCCGUGCCAGCAGCGUUAGUUUGGGGCAAGAACCUGCUCAGAGACCCCUGGCUCGCUCCAGCAUUUGGCCUGGCAUGUUUUAGGCUGUUUGUCUAAACAAAUUAAAGGCGUAAGAGCUUUGAAAGAUGAUGGGGGUUGCUUUCAUGUCCUCCCCCAGGCUGCGGUAGCUCCAAUUGGAGUGGGUAAUGGGCUUAAAGCAUUCCGUAUGUUUCCAGAUACAAGGCACACGUUAUGAGACAUCAAAGUGCCCUAUCAUUUACAUAUUAGUCAUUCACUAUGACAUUUUAAAAUUAUUUACAAAGUUCAGAAUAAUUUUAGCAACUUGCUUCCCUUUCAGUCUGUAAGCUGAGUCUUUAUUU